CUGGAAUCGCUAGUAAUCGCGAAUCAGCAUGUCGCGGUGAAUACGUUCCCGGGUCUUGUACACACCGCCCGUCACACCAUGGGAGUUGGUAACGCCCGAAGUCAGUGACCUAACCGCAAGGGAGGAGCUGCCGAAGGUGGGACCAGUAACUGGGGUGAAGUCGUAACAAGGUAAC
rnacentral:rRNA from 1 species